rnacentral:ncRNA from 2 species
GACGGAGGGUGCUAGCGUUGUUCGGAAUCACUGGGCGUAAAGGGCGCGCAGGCGGCCUCGUCAGUCGGGCGCGAAAGCCCGGGGCUCAACCCCGGAACGGCGCCCGGGACGGCGGGGCUGGAGGCCGGGAGAGGGCGGUGGAAUACCCAGUGUAGAGGUGAAAUUCGUAGAUAUUGGGUGGAACACCGGUGGCGAAGGCGGCCGCCUGGCCCGGUCCUGACGCUGAGGCGCGAAAGCGUGGGGAGCAAACAGG